GUGGAUGAGGAGAGGGUAGGUAGCUGAGUUAUGAUGAACUAAUCGGCCCCCGACA
rnacentral:ncRNA from 14 species